UCUCCGUAGGUGAACCUGCGGAGGGAUCAUUAACACUGUAUCCAAUACAAACCAACUGUGAACUUUACUGUCCCUAAUAAAAUUUAGUGUUGAUGAAGUUGUAGGUGAAAUUUGGCAGCAAUGUCAAAUUGGCUACAUCAACCCGGGAUUUUAUCUCGAACUUUUUUUAUUAGGCUUUUUGAUCUAUCACCAGGUCUUGAACCAAUUCAAAACCCAUUAUAUGUUGCGUCAGCACUAACUAAUGUUCGUGUCGAGUGAAAACUUGAUCGAAUGAAUUACGAAAUACUGAACAACUCUUAACAAUGGAUAUCUUGGUUCUC
rnacentral:misc_RNA from 1 species